UACGUAGGGGGCAAGCGUUGUCCGGAAUUAUUGGGCGUAAAGGGUGCGUAGGCGGUUUGUUAAGUCUUGUGUGAAAUCUUCAGGCUCAACUUGAAGACUGCACGAGAAACUGCAGGGCUUGAGUGUGGGAGAGGUGAGUGGAAUUCCUGGUGUAGCGGUGAAAUGCGUAGAUAUCAGGAGGAACACCGGUGGCGAAGGCGGCAUCCUGGACCGGCAUUGACGCUGAGGAGCGAAAGCCAGGGGAGCAAACGGG
rnacentral:rRNA from 1 species